rnacentral:rRNA from 1 species
CCUACGGGAGGCAGCAGUGAGGAAUAUUGGUCAAUGGGCGAGAGUCUGAACCAGCCAAGUAGCGUGAAGGAUGACGGCCCUAUGGGUUGUAAACUGCUUUUAUAUGGGAAUAAAAUGUUCCACGUGUGGGGUUUUGUAUGUACCAUAUGAAUAAGGAUCGGCUAACUCCGUGCCAGCAGCCGCGGUAAUACGGAGGAUCCGAGCGUUAUCCGGAUUUAUUGGGUUUAAAGGGAGCGUAGGUGGAUUGUUAAGUCAGUUGUGAAAGUUUGCGGCUCAACCCGAAACUUGCAGUUGAAACUGGCAGUCUUGAGUACAGUAGAGGUGGGCGGAACUCGUGGUGUAGCGGUGAAAUGCUUAGAUAUCACGAAGAACUCCGAUUGCGAAGGCAGUUCACUGGACUGCAACUGACACUGAUGCUCGAAAGUGUGGGUAUCAAACAGGAUUAGAUACCCGAGUAGUC